AACGAACGCUGGCGGCAUGCCUAACACAUGCAAGUCGAACGAUGCCUUCUGGUCUUGUGGCGCACGUGAGCGUAACGCAACGGAACCUUCCCUUGUGUUCGGUCUACCUCUCCGAGAGGGAUACUAAUUGCGGAUAAUUGCUUCUACCCAAUGAUUUAUCUGCUUUGAAUGUGUACGUGUGGAAUUUGCUGUUUGGUAGGUUAAAGGCCUACCAAGGCGAUGUUACAUAGCUGGUCUGAGAGGAUGAUCAGCAACACUGGGACUGAGACACGGCCCAGACUCCUACGGGAGGAAGAAGUGGGGAAUAAUGGACAAUGGGCGAAAGCCUGAGCCAGCAAGGCCGCGUGAGUGAGGAAGGACUUAGGGUUGUAAAGCUCUGUUAACAGGGAUGAAAAUGACAGUACCGGGAGAAUAAGCGCCGGCUAACUACGUG
rnacentral:rRNA from 1 species